CAGACCCUUCACUAUGUCGAUGUCACAACAGGACGGAUGCGUGAUGGCCUUCCACCGCCCUCUUCGACUUCAGAGUGGCCUCAAAGGGUGCUUUUGUGGCUGCCUUGGACAGGAGUUAGAGAUUGAAGCCCCUCCCGGAAGAAGCAUAGCCUUCAUUUCCGAAGAUUUCUCCAUGUGGGGUACUUCUUUCACCAUAACUGAUGCCAGGGGAAACGCGAUGUUCAAGGUCCUCGGCCCCGUUCUGUCCUCCAGCUGUGUGAGCAAGGCGUCUCCGGACAUAUUACAGGUGACAACAAUGGGAGGGUUCCCAGUAGGCGAGAUAUGGAUUGGGGAGCAAAUUACGGUAUCCUUUCUCGUCAACCUGGAUGUUCAGCUCAAGGGAUGUCUAAUCGCCUGUGGAAUGUU